GACGAACGCUGGCGGCGUGCUUAACACAUGCCAGUCGAACGGACAGGCCCUGCUUUUGUGGGUUGCUCGAGUGGCGAACGGGUGAGUAAAACGUGAGUAACCUGCCCUUGACUGUGGGAUAACUUCAGGGAACUGGGGCUAAUACCGGAUAGGAGCUCCUGCUGCAUGGUGGGGGUUGGAAAGUUUCGGCGGUUGGGGAUGGACUCGCGGCUUAUCCGCUUGUUGGUGGGGUAGUGGCUUACCAAGGCUUUGACGGGUAGCCGGCCUGAGAGGGUGACCGGCCACAUGGGGACUGAGAUACGGCGCAGACGCCUACGGGAGGCAGCAGUGGGGAAUAUUGCACAAUGGGCGGAAGCCUGAUGCAGCAACGCCGCGUGCGGGAUGACGGCCUUCGGGUUGUAAACCGCUUUCGCCUGUGACGAAGCGUGAGUGACGGUAAUGGGUAAAGAAGCACCGGCUAACUACGUG
rnacentral:rRNA from 1 species